rnacentral:rRNA from 1 species
UACGGGGGGGGGCAAGCGUUGUUCGGAAUUACUGGGCGUAAAGGGCUCGUAGGUGGCCAACUAAGUCAGACGUGAAAUCCCUCAGCUUAACUGGGGAACUGCGUCUGAUACUGGAUGGCUUGAGUUUGGGAGAGGGAUGCGGAAUUCCAGGUGUAGCGGUGAAAUGCGUAGAUAUCUGGAGGAACACCGGUGGCGAAGGCGGCAUCCUGGACCAACACUGACACUGAUGAGCGAAAGCCAGGGGAGCAAACGGG